rnacentral:rRNA from 1 species
GGAAUCUUCGGCAAUGGACGAAAGUCUGACCGAGCAACGCCGCGUGAGUGAAGAAGGUUUUCGGAUCGUAAAACUCUGUUGUUAGAGAAGAACAAGGAUGAGAGUAACUGUUCAUCCCUUGACGGUAUCUAACCAGAAAGCCACGGCUAACUACGUGCCAGCAGCCGCGGUAAUACGUAGGUGGCAAGCGUUAUCCGGAUUUAUUGGGCGUAAAGCGAGCGCAGGCGGUUUCUUAAGUCUGAUGUGAAAGCCUUCGGCUUAACCGAAGAAGUGCAUCGGAAACUGGGAAACUUGAGUGCAGAAGACGACAGUGGAACUCCAUGUGUAGCGGUGAAAUGCGUAGAUAUAUGGAAGAACACCAGUGGCGAAGGCGGCUGUCUGGUCUGUAACUGACGCUGAGGCUCGAAAGCAUGGGUAGCGAACA